AAAGGCUUGGUCCUGACUUUUCUAUCGUUUUUAGCUAAGCUUACACAUGCAAGUAUCCGCCCCCCUGUGAGAAUGCCCUACAGUUCCCCACCCGGGAACAAGGAGCUGGUAUCAGGCACAGACUAACAAACUACCGCCCACGACACCUUGCUUAGCCACACCCCCAAGGGAUUUCAGCAGUGAUAAAUAUUAAGCUAUAAGUGAAAACUUGACUUAGCUACAGCUACUUAGGGCCGGUAAAACUCGUGCCAGCCACCGCGGUUAUACGAGAGGCCCAAAUUGAUAGAUUCCGGCGCAAAGAGUGGUUAAGUAAUUUUAUAUAACUAAAGCCGAACGCCUUCAAGACUGUCGUACGUGUUCGAAGGCAUGAAGCCCAACUACGAAAGUGGCUUUAACUACGUCCGAACCCACGAAAGCUGCGUAACAAACUGGGAUUAGAUACCCCACUAUGCCCAGCCCUAAACUUUGAUAGUUAACUACAUUAACUAUCCGCCUGGGUACUACGAGCCCCUGCUUAAAACCCAAAGGACUUGGCGGCGCUUAAGAUCCAUCUAGAGGAGCCUGUUCUAGAACCGAUACCCCCCGUUCAACCUCACCCUUCCUAGUUUUUUCCGCCUAUAUACCGCCGCCGUCAGCUCACCCAUAAAAGGUCUAGAAGUAGGCAAGAUUGGUAAGACCCUAAACGCCAGGUCGAGGUGUAGUGUAUGGAAGGGGAAGAAAUGGGCUACAUUUCCUUACCAGGAAACACGAACAAUGGACUGAAAUAAACAUUUAGAAGGAGGAUUUAGCAGUAAAUGAAAAACAGAGUGUUUCAUUGAAACUGGCUCUAAAGCGCGCACAUACCGCCCGUCACUCUCCCCCCAAAAUGACUUUACUUACAUAAGCACCUAUAUAUUAAACAAGGGGAGACAAGUCGUAACAUGGUAAGUGUACCGGAAGGUGCACUUGGA
rnacentral:ncRNA from 1 species